rnacentral:lncRNA from 1 species
AUAAUAUCCUAGAUAUCCAUCUAAAGAAGAAAGAAUAUAUAACAUACGUUGUGAAUUUUCUGCAACUAUUGCUACAUGUAACAACAAUGGUGAAUCUACAUUCUACCAUAGAAAUACCAAGAUUUUAAAAGGAAGCCUAAGAAACCAAGAAGGAUCACCAGAGGAACUAAAGAAUAUAAAUAUGGAAGCAAUAAUUUGUCUAUCAUGAGUGAAUAAGAGAAUUACUGAAAUUAAAAGUUGGGGCAGAAUUUUAAAGGCUACUCUUUUUCCUCUGGGUUCCUGAUUCUGCAGAGGAAAGGAAGAACAUACUGCAUCAGUGUGAAUGUUCUGGAAUGUGCUCAAGCUGCACAACUAAUAUUUCAUGUUGAUUGCACUUGGCAAUAGCAAAAUACAGGGAAAAAUAAAGCAAUGAAAG